CCUACGGGUGGCAGCAGUCGAGAAUCAUUCACAAUGGGGGAAACCCUGAUGGUGCGACGCCGCGUGGAGGAAUGAAGGUCUUCGGAUGUUAAGCACCUGUCAUGUGGGGGCAGAUUAAAAAGAUAGUACCACAGGAGGAAGAGACGGCUAACUCUGUGCCAGCAGCCGCGGUAAUACAGAGGUCUCAAGCGUUGUUCGGAAUCACUGGGCGUAAAGCGUGCUUAGGCUGUUUUGUAAGUCGUGUGUGAAAGGCGCGGGCUCAACCCGCGUACUGCACAUGAUACUGCGAGACUAGAGUAAUGGAGGGGGAACCGGAAUUCUCGGUGUAGCAGUGAAAUGCGUAGAUAUCGAGAGGAACACUCGUGGCGAAGGCGGGUUCCUGGACAUUAACUGACGCUGAGGUACGAAGGCCAGGGGAGCGAAAGGGAUUAGAUACCCUUGUAGUC
rnacentral:rRNA from 1 species